GAAGCUUGUAGCCUAGUGGCUAUGGUACAUGACUGGGACCCCUGAGGCUGCUGGUUCAAGCCCCAGUCUAGCCA
rnacentral:tRNA from 1 species